CCGAAAACGGAACGUUAUGUUUUCCUUUUUAGAAAAACCAAAUUUUCUACUAAACUUGAUAGCCCAAUUAUUAUUAUUGUUUUCUAAGGAUUUAUGGAAAUUUAAGUACCCACCAGUCCAAAAUAUUAAAAAUUAUAUAACUAUAAAUUUAGUAAAAACUAAAAUAUUAGGGUUAACCUGGUGCCAGCAACCGCGGUCAAACCAUUGCUAACAAAUAAUUUUUUUAAAAUCUACUCAACCCCUUAAAAUUUUAUGCAGGUGGUUUGCAGUAAAAUGCAGCUACCCUAUACGCCUAACAAAUUUUGAUUUUCUGAUAGAAAAAUAGGAAUAAAAACUAGGAUUAGAGACCCUACUAUUCUUAUAUUAAAUAAUGUAGAUUGAGAAGUAAAACACUCCUGAGAAACUCAAAAGUCAUGGCGGCUAUUAAAACUAAUCAGGGGAGCUUACCAAGUAAUUGACAACCACCAAGAAUUCUUCACUUCUAUUUAAAGUUUGUAUGCCGUCGUUUAAAAUUUUUCUAAGAAAAGUUUUAAUUUCCUUUUUAGUUUUAGAGAAACUAUUAAAACAGAUCAAGGUGCAACUAAUAUAAAAGAUUGGGCGAGCUACAAUGUCAACAUGAAAUCUCGGAGGCAGAUCUAAAAGGCUAGCGGAAGUUGGACUUGAAAGUAACAAAGUUAAAUUAAUAAAUAAGGUUUGAAUUCUAUUUUUAAUAGUGC
rnacentral:rRNA from 1 species